GCAGACACAUUCCAGCCAAUCAGCAGCAGACCCUCCCUCCCAGACCCUCCCGCUCCUGGACCGCUCACUAAGAAUGCAGCUUCACAAUGAAUGUAAAAUGGAUGCUGUCCAGGAGGUGGGAGGGUCUGGGAGGGAGGGUCUGCUGCUGAUUGGCUGGAAUAUGUCUG
rnacentral:miRNA from 1 species